rnacentral:rRNA from 1 species
AGAGUUUGAUCCUGGCUCAGGACGAACGCUGGCGGCGUGCUUAACACAUGCAAGUCGAGCGAUGAGAUCACUUCGGUGAAGGAUUAGCGGCGAACGGGUGAGGAACACGUGAAGAAUCUGCCUUCAACUCUGGGAUAACUCCGGGAAACCGGGGCUAAUACCGGAUAUGAGCCUUGAUCGCAUGAUCGGGGCUGGAAAGUUUUUCGGUUGAAGAUGACUUCGCGGCCUAUCAGCUUGUUGGUGAGGUAAUGGCUCACCAAGGCGACGACGGGUAGCCGGCCUGAGAGGGCGACCGGCCACACUGGGACUGAGACACGGCCCAGACUCCUACGGGAGGCAGCAGUGGGGAAUAUUGGGCAAUGGAGGAAACUCUGACCCAGCGACGCCGCGUGCGGGAUGAAGGCCUUCGGGUUGUAAACCGCUUUCAGCAGGGAAUAAGCGCAAGUGAAGGUACCUGCAGAAGAAGCACCGGCUAACUAUGUGCCAGCAGCCGCGGUAAUACAUAGGGUGCAAGCGUUGUCCGGAAUUAUUGGGCGUAAAGAGCUCGUAGGUGGUUUGUUACGUCGGUUGUGAAAUUCAGGGGCUCAACCCCUGACUUGCAGCCGAUACGGGCAAGCUAGAGUUUGGUAGGGGAGACUGGAAUUCCUGGUGUAGCGGUGGAAUGCGCAGAUAUCAGGAGGAACACCGAUGGCGAAGGCAGGUCUCUGGGCCAAUACUGACACUGAGGAGCGAAAGCGUGGGGAGCGAACAGGAUUAGAUACCCUGGUAGUCCACGCCGUAAACGGUGGGCGCUAGUUGUGCGAACCUUUCCACGGUUUGUGCGACGCAGCUAACGCAUUAAGCGCCCCGCCUGGGGAGUACGAUCGCAAGAUUAAAACUCAAAGGAAUUGACGGGGCCCCGCACAAGCAGCGGAGCAUGCGGCUU